UACAGAGGUCCCAAGCGUUGUUCGGAUUCACUGGGCGUAAAGGGUGCGUAGGCGGUGUGUCAAGUCAGGCGUGAAAGCCCCGGGCUCAACCUGGGAACCGCGCUUGAGACUGGCACGCUAGAGUUCGGGAGAGGAUGGUGGAAUUCCCAGUGUAGAGGUGAAAUUCGUAGAUAUUGGGAAGAACACCGAUGGCGAAGGCAGCCAUCUGGACCGACACUGACGCUGAGGCGCGAAAGCGUGGGGAGCAAACAGGG
rnacentral:rRNA from 1 species